rnacentral:rRNA from 1 species
AACCUGGUUGAUCCUGCCAGUGGCCACCGCUAUUGGAGUUCGAUUAAGCCAUGCGAGUCGAGAGGGUUCGGCCCUCGGCAGACUGCUCAGUAACACGUGGAUAAUCUGCCCUUGGGUGGGGGAUAAGCUCGGGAAACUGAGUAUAAUACCCCAUAGGUGUUGAUUGCUGGAAUGCAUUAAUGCUCAAAGCUCCGGCGCCCAAGGAUGAGUCUGCGGCCUAUCAGGUCGUAGUGAGUGUAAUGGACUCACUAGCCGACGACGGGUACGGGUCGUGAGAGCGAUCGCCCGGAGAUGGAAUCUGAGACACGAUUCCAGGCCCUACGGGGCGCAGCAGGCGCGAAAACUUCACAAUGCGGGAAACCGCGAUGAGGGAACUCCAAGUGCCUAUACAUUGUAUAGGCUGUUCAGGUGUCUAAAAAACAUCUGGAGUAAGGGCUGGGUAAGUCUGGUGCCAGCCGCCGCGGUAAUACCAGCAGCUCGAGUGGUGGUCGUUUUUAUUGGGCCUAAAGCGUCCGUAGCCGGUUCGGUAAAUCUUUGGGUAAAUCGUCGGGCUUAACUCGACGAAUUCCGAAGAGACUGUCGAACUUGGGACUGGGAGAGGUCGGAGGUACUCUUGGGGUAGGGGUGAAAUCCUGUAAUCCUGAGAGGACCACCAGUGGCGAAGGCGUCCGACUAGAACGGGUCCGACGGUGAGGGACGAAGCCGUGGGGCGCGAACCGGAUUAGAUACCCGGGUAGUCCACGGUGUAAACGCUGCAGGCUUGGUGUUGGGGGUCCUACGAGGGCGUCCAGUGCCGGAGAGAAGUUGUUAAGCCUGCCGCCUGGGGAGUACGAUCGCAAGAUUGAAACUUAAAGGAAUUGGCGGGGGAGCACAGCGACGCGUGGAGCGUGCGGUUUAAUUGGAUUCAACGCCGGAAAACUCACCGGGGGCGACUGUCAUAUGUGGGCCAGAUUAAUGAUCUUGCCUGAAUUUCAGAGAGGUAGUGCAUGGCCGCCGUCAGUUCGUACCGUAAGGCGUUCUGUUAAGUCAGACAACGAACGAGACCCCUGCCUCUAAUUGCUAUUAUUCUCUCCGGAGGAUAAGGACAUUAGGGGGACCGCUGGCGCUAAGUCAGAGGAAGGGGGGGGCAACGGUAGGUCAGUAUGCCCCGAAUCUCCCGGGCCACACGCGCGCUACAAAGGGCGGGACAAUGGGUUCCGACCCCGAGAGGGGAAGGUAAUCUCGAAACCCGUCCGUAGUUCGGAUUGAGGGCUGUAACUCGCCCUCAUGAAGCUGGAAUGCGUAGUAAUCGCGGGUCAACAUCCCGCGGUGAAUAUGCCCCUGCUCCUUGCACACACCGCCCGUCAAACCAUCUGAGUUGGGUUUGGAUGAGGGCUCCUCUCCCUGGGGAGUUCGAAUCCAGAUUCAGCAAGGAGGGUUAAGUCGUAACAAGGUAUCCGUAGGUGAACCUGCAGAAGGAUCA